rnacentral:rRNA from 1 species
CAAGGAAUUUUCCACAAUGGGCGCAAGCCUGAUGGAGCAACGCCGCGUGCGGGAUGACGCCCUUCGGGUGUAAACCGCUUUUCGAGGGACGAAGGCAAUGACGGUACCCUCGGAAGAAGGAUCGGCUAACUACGUGCCAGCAGCCGCGGUAAGACGUAGGAUCCGAGCGUUGUCCGGAGUUACUGGGCGUAAAGCGCGCGCAGGCGGUCAGUCGCAUCGGCGGUGAAAGCCCCCCGCUCAACGGGGGAGGGUCCGUCGAGAUGGACUGACUGGAGGCAGGGAGAGGCCAGUGGAAUUCCGGGUGUAGUGGUGAAAUGCGUAGAGAUCCGGAGGAACACCAGUGGCGAAGGCGGCUGGCUGGACCUGACCUGACGCUGAGGCGCGAAGGCGUGGGGAGCGAACGGGAUUAGAUACCCCGGUAGUCCACGCAGUAAACGAUGGGAGACGUAGGUGUGGCGGGAGUUGACCCCUGCCGUGCCGGCGCUAACGC